rfam:Candidatus Wildermuthbacteria bacterium RIFCSPHIGHO2_01_FTLL_48_27b rifcsphigho2_01_scaffold_5229, whole genome shotgun sequence.
GCGCUUGUAGCUCAAUUGGAUAGAGCGCCACGCUUCGGACGUGGAGGUUCCGGGUUCGAAUCCUGGCAGGCGCA